rnacentral:sRNA from 1 species
AAUCAUUGAAGUUCGGCUAAGAACGCCACUUCCUGUGGCAACACCGAACUGACCUGCAUCCUGCAGG